rnacentral:rRNA from 1 species
UAGGGAAUCUUCCGCAAUGGACGCAAGUCUGACGGAGCAACGCCGCGUGAGUGAAGAAGGAUUUCGGUUCGUAAAACUCUGUUGUUAGAGAAGAACAGCGCAUAGAGUAACUGUUAUGCGUGUGACGGUAUCUAACCAGAAAGCCACGGCUAACUACGUGCCAGCAGCCGCGGUAAUACGUAGGUGGCAAGCGUUGUCCGGAUUUAUUGGGCGUAAAGCGAGCGCAGGCGGUCAAUUAAGUCUGAUGUGAAAGCCCCCGGCUCAACCGGGGAGAGUCAUUGGAAACUGGUUGACUUGAGUGCAGAAGAGGAGAGGGGAAUUCCAUGUGUAGCGGUGAAAUGCGUAGAUAUAUGGAGGAACACCAGUGGCGAAGGCGACUCUCUGGUCUGUAACUGACGAUGAGGUUCGAAAGCGUGGGUAGCAAACAGG